rnacentral:miRNA from 17 species
UAAAGCUAGAUUACCAAAGCAU